rnacentral:tRNA from 1 species
CGUAAUGUAGCUUAAUUAAAGCAUCUCGCUUACACCGAGAAAAUGUCCGUGAAAAUCGAACCUUUAUGAGCCCAAAACCUAACUCAACUUUACAUGAAUUUUACCUUAAU